rfam:Parcubacteria group bacterium RIFCSPLOWO2_01_FTLL_48_18 rifcsplowo2_01_scaffold_2683, whole genome shotgun sequence.
GGGGGCUUAGGUAAGUGGUAUACCCGUCGUCUCCAAAACGACAAUCGGGGGUUCGAUUCCCUCAGCCCCUG